AAGCGGAGGAGCAUGUGGUUUAAUUCGAUGAUACGCGAGGAACCUUACCUGGGCUCAAAUGUAUGUUGACGUAUUCUGAAAGGGAUACUUCUUCGGACAAUAUACAAGGUGCUGCAUGGUUGUCGUCAGCUCGUGCCGUGAGGUGUCGGGUUAAGUCCCAUAACGAGCGCAACCCUAUCAUUAGUUGCCAUCAGGUCAAGCUGGGGACUCUAAUGAAACUGCCUACGCAAGUAGUGAGGAAGGUGGGGAUGACGUCAAAUCAGCACGGCCCUUACGUCCAGGGCUACACACGUGCUACAAUGGCCGGUACAAAGGGCAGCUACCUGGUGACAGGGUGCUAAUCUCAAAAGCCGGUCUCAGUUCGGAUCGGAGUCUGCAACCCGACUCCGUGAAGCUGGAAUCGCUAGUAAUCGCGCAUCAGCCAUGGCGCGGUGAAUACGUUCCCGGGCCUU
rnacentral:rRNA from 1 species